CCGAACUUUCCCUUGUCUUUAACCUUUCUAAGCCUCACUAUUAGUUACUGGUUUCUGAACCAUGGCACCAACACCACCCACCUCCCUAGAGUUCAAGGUUCAUAGGCGUGAACCUGAACUAAUCGCCCCUGCUAAGCCUACCCCUCAUGAGUUCAAACCAUUAUCGGACAUUGAUGACCAAGAGGGUCUUCGAUUUCACAUUCCGGUGAUACAGUUUUAUCGGUAUGAUCCCUCCAUGCAAGGGAGAGAUCCUGUUAUGGUGAUAAGAGAGGCACUCGCUAGAACACUAGUGUUUUACUAUCCAUUUGCUGGUAGGCUCAGGGAAGGGCCUAAACGCAAGCUUAUAGUGGAAUGUACCGGUGAAGGUGUGUUGUUUAUUGAGGCUGAAGCUGAUGUUGCUCUUGAGCAAUUCGGUGAUGCACUUCAACCUCCAUUCCCUUGCUUGGAAGAGCUUCUUUUUGAUGUCCCUGGCUCCAGUGGGGUGCUUAACUGCCCUUUGCUGCUUAUUCAGGUGACGCGCCUAAAAUGCGGUGGUUUUAUAUUUGCUCUCCGUCUCAACCACACCAUGAGCGAUGCUCCUGGCCUAGUCCAAUUCAUGUCCACCGUAGGAGAGAUGGCACGUGGCGCACAAGCGCCGUCUGUUCUUCCGGUAUGGGAAAGGCAUUUCCUUAACGCUCGGGAUCCACCACGUGUGACACGCACCCAUCGUGAAUACGAUGAGGUUGCCGACACCAAAGGCACAAUAAUCCCGCUCGAUGACAUGGCUCACCAAUCAUUCUUCUUUGGACCCAAUGAAGUCGCUGCUCUCCGAAGAUUUGUGCCGAAGCACCUCCGCCAAUGCUCUAACUUUGAAUUAUUGACGGCAUGUCUGUGGAAGUGCCGUACCAUUGCACUUCAACCAGAUCCCACUGAAGAGAUGCGUAUUAUUUGUAUUGUCAAUGGACGCAACAAAUUCAAUCCUCCGUUACCGACUGGAUAUUACGGCAACGGAUUUGUGUUUCCGGUGGCGGUGGCAAGAGCAAAAGAACUAAUUGAGAAACCGCUAGGCUUCGCAUUAGAAUUGGUAAAAGAGGUUAAAGAUAGUGUGACGGAAGAGUACAUGCGAUCCGUGGCGGAUCUAAUGGUGAUUAAAGGUAGGCCCCAUUUUACAGUGGUGAGGAGUUACCUAGUGUCGGAUGUGACGCGUGCAGGAUUUGGAGAGGUGGAUUUUGGAUGGGGUAAGGCUGCAUAUGGUGGGCCAGCGAAAGGUGGGGUAGGGGCCAUCCCUGGAGUGGCAAGCUUUUAUAUACCGUUCAGAAACAAGAAAGGAGAAAAUGGGAUUGUGUUGCCAAUUUGCUUGCCAGCACAGGCAAUGGAACGAUUUGUAAAGGAGCUAAAGGGUAUGUUAGAGGAGCAGCCAAUUAAUGGUGCCAAAAAAUCCAAAUUUAUAGUAUCUGCCUUGUAAUUCUGUUAUUUUGUAACUUUGUUUUGUGGAAAAGUAGUAUAUGAAUUAUGAUGAAUUGUGUUUUAUGAAAUCAGCUAUCAAGUUAGUAUGUUUAGGAAUUUUCCUUUUUUUUUUUAUUGCAAAUAUAUGCUGAUUUUUGGCUCCAACAACCAAAAUCAAAAUAAUGAGCCGAGGGCAUGUACCAUGUGUUGUCGGGGUCAAUGGCUCUUCCCUGAGUCUGGUAGGUAUAGCAUCAGUCAAUUAUGGGCAAAUUAUUAGCUGCAUCAUAUAUAUUAAUAAAAUAAUGAAUUUUACCUUCUUAUUUUUAUUAUGUAAUUAUUUCUUUUAAUGUACGAUAUAAUAUUAUUCAGUGCACUAGAUAUUCUCA
rnacentral:misc_RNA from 1 species